CACCACUAUUCCCCCUCCCUCCACCCACCACCGUGUCCAAGGUUUCAAUUUCACUCUUCCCAUUUUCUCACGUCAAAAAUCCUCUCACUCAAUCUGACAGCCCCUCUCAGUCCCAGCUUCCCUUGCUUGCUUCACCUCCAGCCACUAGCACUCUUCCUUUUCAUCGCAGUCUCCUUCAAGUAAACUCUUUCUCUCUUCUAUUGUUCCUUUCAUUUGCCUCUCUAGGGUUUCCUGACGAUUUUUCUCCACUUUUAACUCUCUCCAUCUUAUUCUUAUGUUGGGAAACAAAAUUUUAAUUUGUUUUUACAGUUCUUGAAGAUCUUGAGAUCUGUUUGAGGGAUCUAACAGUGUCAAAGAUUAUCUGUUUUUCGUGGGUUUUCUUCUCUUAGGUUUUUAUUUUUGUUUUGGAUUUUCACAUUCUUCUUGUAUUAGCUAUGGAUUAUUGUUUUGUUGAUUUCUUACGUUGCAUGUUCUUUUCUUUGAAUGCCAUUUAAAUUUAGAACUAUUUUCUAAUAUGGGUUUAUGUCAUUUGUGUUGUUUAGUUUUCUUAGAAUCAAGUUUUUUUUUCUAGGAUUUACAUCAGAUGCUUUUAUUCAAAUGGAUUAUAAUGCAAAUAAACCUUUAUUCCAGUGAUUUAUUUUCAGUAAUUUCUCAAUAAUCUCAAUCUAGCUGUCUAAAUAAGCUUUCACUUUGAAACUUUAUGCCUAAACAACAUGACAAAAAUGAGAACUGCAACAGAAAGGAACUGAUCUAGCCGUCUCCUUACUUUGUUUGUUGUCGUUUUUUGUUCGUUUGCAGCUUUAGAUAAUCUUAUUGGAAAUUUUGUUUUUAUUUUAUUUUAUUAAUUUUUAUUUUCAUUAUCAUCAUCUUCUACUACGCAUACGGGGAAAAGGAAAAAAAACUCUUUUUUUUAUUAUUAGUUUUUUUAUUUUGCUUCUUAAAAAGCUUCAUUAAUUACCAACAAUUUGAUAUAAUAAAAGGAACUUGUCCAUGUUUUCAAAUUUCAAGUAUCAAAUUUAUUGAGGAAAAUAGAAACUAAAGCCAAGUCGUAUAUGUUACAAGAUAACAUAAAUUGUUGUAGGUUUUAGAGUGGAUUAUGAUUAUUUUGGUUUAAUAGUUGUUGAGUAUGCCUCAUAUUUCAAUCAAAUUUGAGAGAUAAUUUUUCAGUUAAACUCUGUUUAUUUGUUUCAGUCGAACUUUAAUUAGUCUAGAUUAUUUUAUUAUUUAUUGACCUACGAAUUUAGCCUAUAAAUUGGCUCUUUUACAAUAUUAGAAACACACCCAUUAAAAGAUUAGAGCUCAUAACCCUUUUGGAGAAUUUUGUGUUUACAUUUUAAGGGUUCUUAGUUUUUAGGUUUUGAGGUUUAGUUUUUAUCUCCAUUUUUUGUACUCUUUGUUCUUUUUCCAUUAUAGUAAAAUUAUCUUUGCCCGUAGUUUUUUAUCCUCUUUGGAGGGUUUUUCCAUGUUAAAUUUGUGUGUUCAAUUUCUCAAUUUCUUCCACUAUUUUUACUUGUUCAUUUGCUUAAUCGGGUCGAUCCCUAACAAUAAUGUGCCCUUAACUUUAUGUCUAAUUCAAGUUUCUAUUUUGGGUUCAAUUUUAUAUUAUCAAUAGUUAGUGUGUACAUGAGUUUAUACCCAAUGUUUUAGCUUUGCAUUGUGUGCUUUGAAGAUAUAUGCAAGUUACUUAUCAAGUUACUGAUCAAAUAUAUGCAUCACUGUAACACCCUUUACCCGUAUCCGAUGUCGGGACAGAGUACGAGAUAUUACCGAAAACAUACACAGUCAUUCAUGCAAAACCGAGCUAUAAAAUUUUUCUUCAAAUUAAUUUCAUUCAUACAUACACAAUUUGUCCCUCAUGUGGGCCUAUGAGGCCCAAAACAACCAUCAAAAAAUGAUUGGGAUUAAGUCGAGAACUUUUAGAAAAGUUUGGGAAAUUUUCCCUAAUACAGAGCCACACGCCCGUGUGAGAUAGGGGACACGCCCGUGUGCUCUUGACACACCCGUGUCCUCCAGUCGUGUAACUUUGUAAUACCCCAUACUCGUAUCCUAUGCCGGGGCGAAAUACGAGGUGAUACCUAACUUGAACUCAUACUUACAACCAAUUUCGAGUCUUCAUGACUUGGAAAAUUUUAAAACUUUCUUAAACUUAUCAAUAUAUUCUUAAUAUGGGCUUACGAGACCUAAAACACACAUCGAAAAUCAUUUGGGACCAAACCGGGUCCUUUUGCCAACUAUAGAAAAAUGUCACUUAACACAAGGGCACAUGCCCGUCUGACCAUUCCAACAUAGCCGUGCUGAUGGCCCGUGUGUCUCAUCGGUGUCCUCUACCCGAGUGGAAUUAAUUCUAAAUGCACACCUAAAGGGGUUUUCACAUGGCCUGGCACACGCCCGUGUCCUUGGCCUGUGUCAUUCACACAGCCAUGACACGUCCGUGUCCUAGCCCGUGUGCAGAAACCUGGACAUUCUGUUUCUGACGUCAGCAACCCCAAAAUGUCACACGGCCAAAACACAUACCCGUGUGCUAGAUCGUGUUCUACACAUGGCUGUGUCUCUGCCCGUGUGUUUACUACUAUGCAUACUGACUUGAAAUGUUUACAUGCAAGGGACAUACAGCCAGACUGCACACCCACGGGGCAGACCGUGUGACACACACGCCCGUGUGUCUAUCCGUGUGGACAAAAAUAAGGUUAUGUACCAAGCUUCUUUGUCACCAUUACUUACACAACCUACACAAUAACGACCAAAAACAAUACAAAACUAUUUCAUGCAGCCAAAUCAACCACCAUUUGUGCAAUUUACUUAUCCAUGAAACUAACACCAUUUACAUAUAUCAAAAUGGAUAUUAGCCAUCAUUCAAGGCUUCAUACAAAGUGAGGGAUUUAUCCCAAGCCAACAUAUUUGGCCAAAUUACAAACACACAAAACACAAGUCUAAUCCUCUAUACAUGCCAUAUUCAAAAAUAUAAAUUAAACUAUACCGAAUGCUUCGAUCGAUAGUGUGAUCGAUAUCUCUGACUUCCUUUGAUCCUUGAGCUAGCUAGGCGGCACUAUAAGAAAAAGAAAUGAGAGGAAGUAAGCAUAAAGCUUAGUAAGUUGCACAUAAAUAAAUAUACAACACAACUUUACCAUUCAUCAACAAGCUCAUAGUACACAAGUGGGCAUAAGUAAAACUUACUCAUCAAUAUUCCAUACACUUCGUAUAGUAUAUAUUGAACUCACAAUUCAAACAUACCCAAUAGGUACUUGUAUCACUUACAACUCGGUCAAACUUUUCUCAAUAACUAGAAAUCAUAACUUUCACCAUUGAACCAUUCAGAAUUCUAUCGGAUAUUCCAUAAGCCUCAUGCAUAGGGUAAGGUGUCGAUCCAAUGCCCCAGACAUGGUCUUACACUGGCUAUCAUCUCAUAGCCGACGCAUGUCCCAGACAUGUCUUACACUGGCUUACAUCUCGAGGUCGACGCAUGUCCUAGACAUGUCUUACACUAGCACUCGUCUCAAUGCCGAUGCCAUGUCCCAGACAUGGUCUUACACUGGCUUUCAUAAUGUGGCCGAUGCAUGUCCCAGCCAUGUCUUACAAUAGCUCACACAAGUGACCUGAUCGUCAUGGCAUGAAUAUCCGAUUUAUUUCCUAGGUUCAAACAGGAACUCUACUGUUUCUAUUAUCAUCAUACUUUCUCAAUUCCAAAAUCAAGCAAUUCAUACUAUAAUAAUUCAAUACAAUUCAACAUAUACAUUAGCAAUAUAGUUGUAUUAUUUACAUACAACUUACCUCAGAUUACAAAAUGUGGCAACUAGUCGAUUUAGCCGAUUUGCUUGGCUUUCCCCCUGUCUAAGCUCAGGUUUGGUAAUUCUUUAUCUAUAAUAAAAAAAUACACUUAUUUAAUCACUAAAUAAAAUUAGGCAAUCAAAAAUUCACUUCUUUGGUAAAAUGACCAUUUUGCCCCUAGACCUUAACAAAAUGACCAUUUUACCCUUAAGCUCAAAAAUCAAUUUUUAUCGAAUUUCUUCGCAUCUUAAGCCUAGCCGGACCCUUUUUACUCUUAUAGCAACUCCAAAUUCCCAUUAUAUUACACAUUUAUCAUCUACUUUACAGCUUAUGCAAACUAGGCCUUUUAAGUGUUUUCAUGCUAACACCUUUCACAAAAGUUGUUUAUAAGACACCUAAGACUCAUUUUCUUCCAUAAAAAUUUAGCAAACAUCACUAAUCCUUUCAUGGAAAAACCCUAUACUUUCAAUCAUUUUGAAAAAUAGUACCCUCAUUUGAAAGCUUAUGCUUCAAGGAUCUCAAAAGUACAAAAUAUUUAAGAAAAGCCAUUAGGAUCACUUACUUGUGAAGGCUUAAAGUUGCUGAAAUUUCAAGCUCUUAAACCCCAUUAUUUGCUGAAAAUUUCGGUGGAGGAAGAAGAUGAAAAGGGAUGAUAUCAUCAUUCUUUUAUCUAUUUCUAUUUUAGUCAAAAUAAGCCACCUAACCCACCAAAUUUUAAAAUUUUGUCUCCUCUUUGACUCUAUGGUCAACUAUGCUUCCUUAAAAGGGUUUAAUUGCCUUUUAAAAUCCCCCAAUUUUGAUUCUCUAAUAAAAUAAUACCUUUAGCUAUCAAAUUAAUACUUUUGCACUUAAUGCGAUUUAGCCUUUUUUUUUUUGCAAUUGGGCUCACAAACGUUAAAAUUAGCUCACCAAAUUUUUCAUGCACUAAUAUAAACAUGCUAUGACUCUAUAUCAAUAAUAAAAUAAAUCUUUUGACUUCGAAUUUGUGGUCCCGAGACCACUAUUUUGACUAGCCCCAAAAUCAGGCUGGUACAUUUCUCCCCCUUAGGGAUUUUCAUCCUCGAAAAUCUUACCGAUGAAUAAGUUUGGGUAUUGAUCUAUCAUACUCUCCUCAGGUUCCCAUAUGGCUUCCUCGACUCCAUGUCUAUGCCACAAAACUUUCACUAGUGCUACACUCUUAUUCAUCAACUGUUUGACUUCACAAGUCAAUAUCUUGACCGGCUCUUCGCCAUAAGUCAUGUCCGGAUAAUUCUCAACCUCUGACGGCGCAGUCACAUACGAAGGGUCUGAUUUAUAUCGACGCAGCAUGGACACAUGAAACACAUCGUGAAUCUUUUCUAAUUUUGGUGGUAAAGCCAAUCGAUAGGCAACUGGCCCUACUCUUUCGGUAACCUCAUAGGGUCCUAUGAAACGAGGACUCAACUUGCCUCUUCUACCAAAUCUGAGAACUUUCCUCUACAAGGAUACUUUCAAAAAUACUCGAUCAUCGACUUAAAAUUCAAUCUCUUUCCGUUUCAAAUCCGCGUAAGAUUUUUGUCUAUCCGAAGCAGCUUUCAAACAGUCCUAAAUCACUUUAACUUUCUCUUCAGUCUCUUUGAUUGAAUCGACCCCAUGUAUUAGACUUUUUCUCAGUUCAGUCCAAUACAAGAGCGUUCGACACUUUCGCCCAUACAAAGCCUCAUAAGGCACUAUUUUUAGACUUGACUGGUAACUAUUAUUGUAGGAAAAUUCAACCAAUGGUAUGUACCUUUCCCAAUUACCUUGAAAUUCAAGAACACAACACUGCAACAUGUCUUCCAAGAUCUGAAUUACUCUUUUCGAUUGACCGUCAGUUUGCGGGUGAAAUGCCAUGCUGAAACUUAACUUUUUUCCCAAGGCCUCUUGUAACUUUUUCCAAAAUCUCGGGGUAAAUCUUGAAUCCCUAUUCGAAACAAUCGACAAAGGUACCCCGUGUAGUCUCACAAUAUCAGAAAUAUACAAGUCAGCCAAUCUCUCAAGGGAGUAGUCAGUAUGCAUCGGUAUGAAAUGUGCCGACUUUGUUAGCCUCUCCACAAUAACUCAAACAAUAUCCUUUUUCUUCGAGGUUAAUGACAAACCUGUCACUAAGUCCAUCGUAAUACGACCCCACUUCCACUUGGGGAUCGUGAUAAGCUGAAAUAGACUCGAAGGUAUUAGAUGUUCAGGCUUCACUUGCUGACACACUAGACACUUGGAAACGAAUUUUGAAAUGUCUCUUUUCGUCCCUGACCACCAGUACACUUUCCUCAAAUCAUUAUACAUUUUUACACUACCCGGGUGGAUGGACAAAUAACCACUAUGUGCUUCUCGUAGAAUCUUCUAAAUAAGUUUAUUAUCUUUGGGUACACAAACUCUAUCUUUAAACAUUAGACAUCCAUCGGUGCCAAUUUGAAAAUUUGAUUCAAUCCCCAACUCACACUGAGUUCUCUUAACUCGCAAAUGUUUGUCAUUGUUCUGAGCUUCAUGGAUUUCUUGUAGAAACAUCGGUCUAGCUCUCAACUCUGCUAGAACCGAACCAUCAUCUAACAAUGCCAAAUUGGCGUUCAAUGCUCUCAAUGCAAAUAAUGAUUUUCUACUCAAUGCAUCGGCGGCCACGUUUGCCUUUCCCGGGUGGUAGUCGAUAAUCAACUCAUAAUCCUUUAAUAGCUCUAACCAUCGUCGUUUCUAUAGGUUCAACUCCUUUUGAGUCAUCAAGUACUUAAGACUCUUAUGACCAGUGAUCACCCGACACUUCUCAUCAUAUAGAUGGUGUCUCCAAAUCUUUAACAAGAACACUACAGCCGCUAGUUCCAAGUUAUGGGUCGGGUAAUUUCCCUCGUGUGGCUUUAGUUGUCUUGAGGCAUAGGCUAUAACCUUGCCUUCUUGCAUGAGCACACACCCCAAACCAUUCAAAGAGGUGUCACUAUAUAUCAUAAUUUCCUUGCCCGACUCCGGUCGCACUAACACUGGUACUUCGGUCAACAAAGCCUUUAACUUCUCGAAACUUUGCUGGCACUUUUCUAUCCAUUCAAACUUGACAUCUUUUUGUAAUAGCCUUGUCAUUGAAGUAGCGAUCAUAAAAAACCCUUGAACAAACCUUCUAUAGUACCCAGCCAAGCCCAAGAAGCCGAGAUCUUGCUUCGGUCAACUCUAAUCCCAUCACCUGAAACAAUGUGUCCUAAAAAUCUAACCUCCUUAAGCCAAAAUUCAUUCUUACUGAACUUGGCGUACAAUUUCUUAUCUCCCAAGGUUUGUAACACAGUUUUCAAAUGCUCCGUGUGUUCACCCUCAUCACACGAGUAAAUCAAUAUGCCAUCAAUAAAAAUGACUACAAACUCAUCCAUAUAUGGUCGAAAAACACGGUUCAUCAAAUCCACAAACACUGCCGGGGCAUUAGUCAAGCCAAAGGGCAUGACGAGGAACUCAUAAUGCUGUAUCUCGUCCGAAAAGCAGUCUUUGGUACAUCUUGCUCUUUAACUCUCAACUGAUAAUAACCAGACCUCAAGUCUAUCUUGGAGAACACCGUGGCUCCCUUCAACUGAUUGAAUAAAUCAUCUAUCCUUGGAAAAGGAUACUUGUUCUUCACAGUUACCUUAUUGAGCUAUCUAUAGUCGAUACAUAACCUCAUCGACCCGUCUUUCUUUUUCACAAACAACACUGGUGUGCCCCACGGUGAAUAACUAGGUCUCGCAAAACCUUUAUCCAUUAACUCUUGCAGCUGUACUUUCAACUCUUUCAACUCUGUUAGGGCCAUUCUAUAAGUAGCGUUUUAGAUGGGAGCCGCACCAGGGACUAACUCAAUACCAAAUUCAACUUCCCUUACUGGAGGUAAUCCGGGUAACUCUUCUGGGAACACAUCUAUAAACUCACAAACCACUGGUACCGAUUCAAUCUUUGACUCAGGCACUUGAGUAUUCAAUACAAAAGCGAGAUAAGCCUUAUAUCUUUUCCAUAAAUAUUUCUCAGUUAACAUAGACGAUAUCACCACAGGCGGUUUAUUCGGUUCAUUUGGUCCAACCUGAAGGACAUUCUCGUCUUCACAUUUCAACUCAAUAACUUUUCUCUCACAAUCCACUACAACACUAUGAGAAGUCAACCAAUCCAUCCUAAGGAUCACAUCAGAUUCAUUAAACAGUAGUUACAUCAAGUUAGCCGGAAAACAAUGACCUCUAAUUAUCAAAGGACAAUUUCUACACAUUGGUCUACAAGCACAUGUUUAUUUAAGGGGUUAGACACUUUUAUCACAAAUUCUAUGGGCUCUACUAACAUGUUCAUACGAGGUAUCAAUUCCAUACAAAUAUAGGAGUGGGUCGACCCUGGGUCAAUUAAAGCAACAACUUAUAUUUUAUGGAUAGAAAAGGUACUCGUAAUCACGUCGGGAGACUUUGCCUCUUCACGGGCACGAAUAGUGUAAGUCCUUGCAGGCACUCUGCCCUUGGACCUUACUGCAGCAUCUUUGGGUACACCUCUGCUAGAAGCCCCACUUCCAGGGUUCUUUUGCGGUCUACCCUUCAAUGGAGCACUACUUACCUUUACUUCUUGCUUUUUCUUUCCCUCUUUUACAUCGGGACAGUCUUGGAUGAAAUAAUCCAGUGACCCGCAUUUAAAAUGCCCCCUUUCUUUACCUCGCCACUCACCAAAAUGACGUCUACCACAUUGCGAACACUCUAGCCUAUUUGGCUGAGCACUACACACUCGCGACAGAAGCGGUUUGAGCUCUAGAAGUUGCGUUCUGUCGAUUCUUGUUUCUAUUCGAAAAGCCCACCGAAGCAUUCAAUCGAGUAGCAAACUCUCUUGAUCUUUUAAACGAGGAUUGAUAUGAUUUCUCCAUCUAUCUCUUCUUUGAAUCCUGCGACUCAAUAGCCAAUUUCCUCCUUUCUUUUACUAGCUCCUCUUCCUUGCAUGCUCUCUCAACGAGCACUGCAAACUCUCUUAUCUCUAAAAUACCAACAAACACCCAGAUAUCUUCAUUGAGGCCAUCCUCGAACCUCUUACACAUGGCGGCUUCUGAGGACACACACUCCCGCUCAUAUUUGCUGAGUUUCACAAACUCUCGUUCGUACUCUAUUACUGUCCUACUGCCUUGCUUCAUCUCUAGGAAUUCCUUCCUUUUCUGGUCUAUGAACCUCUGACCAAUAUACUUCUUUCGAAAAUCUUCUGGGAAGAAUUCCCACGUUAUUCUCUCUCUCAGUACCACAGACACGAGUGUGUUCAACCACCAGUAGGCCGAAUCUUGCAAGAGCGAUAUGGCACACUUCACGCACUCCUCAAGUGUGCAAGACAGUUCAUCAAAUACCCUGAUGUUAUUCUCUAACCAAAACUCUGCUUUCUCCGGCUCGUCAUUUAUGUUAGCCCAAAAUUCCUCAGCCCCUUGUUUUUGGAUCUUGUCUACUGGAGGCUUCUCUCUCCUAAACAUGUCCGUGCCUUGCGGAGCUACCGGGGCAUACUGAGGAAUCAGAGGAGGUGGGAGAGGUGGAAUGUUCGGAUUCGUAUGAAAGAAAUCUGUAUACCAAGCAUCCAUCAUUCGGAGGUAGGCUUCUCUAGCCCCUCCACCUUGGCCCAUAGUCACGGGCUCACUCUCAACUGGCGCGGUCCCUUUAGCAGAAGCCGGCGCGUUACUCUCUAGGUCAUCCAUCGUAGCUCUAUCAAGAUCCAUUUACUAUAUAAAAAUAUGAUUUAUAAUUGUCAGAAAUCGUCACACUAUCAAUAUACAGUUAUAACGUGUAUAGCUAGACUUGUACUCUGGCUAGGUUAGUCCUAGAACCGACUAAACGAUAGCUUUGAUACCAAUAACUGUAACACCCCAUACCCGUAUCCUAUAUCGGGGCAUAAUACGAGGCGAUACCUAACUUGAACUCAUACCUACAACCAAUUCCAAGUCUUCAUAACUUGGAAAAAUUUAAAAAUUUCUUAAACUUAUCAAUAUAUUUUUAAUAUGGGCUUAAGAGGCCCAAAACACACACCGAAAAUCAUUCGGGACCAAACCAGGUCCUUUUGCCAACAAUAGAAAAAUGUCACUUGACAUAGGGGCACACACCCGUGUGACCAUUCCAGCAUGGCAGUGUUGAUGGCCCUUUGUCUCAUACGGCCUAAGCAAAACAGGGACACGCCCGUGUCCUCCACCCGUGUGGAAUUAAUUCUAAAUGCACACCUACAGGGGUUUUCACACGGCCUCACACACGUCCGUGUCCCUAGCUCGUGUCCUUCACACGGCCAUGACACGUCUGUGUCCUAGCCCGUGUGUGAAAACCUGGACAUUCUAUUUCUGAGGUUAGCAUCCCCAAAAUGUUACACGGCCAAGGCACACGCAUGUGUGCUAGACCAUGUUCUACACACGGCUGAGACACACGGCCCUGUCUUUGCUCGUGUGUUUACUACCAUGCAUACUCAUUUGAAAUGUUUACGUGCAGAGGACACACAGUCAGACCGCAUGCCCACGGGGCAAACCGUGUGUCACACACGGCUUAGACAUGCGCCCGUGUGUCUACCCAUGUGUCUACUCGUAUAGCCAAAAAUAACGACCAAAAACAAUACAAAACUAUUUCACGCAACCAAAUCAACAACAAUAGACAACAUUUCAUUUGUGCAAUUUACUCAUCCAUGAAACUAACACCAUUUACAUAUAUCAAAAUGGAUAUUAGCCAUCAUUCAAGGCUUAAUACAAAGUGAGAGAUUUAUCCCAAGCCAACAUAUUUGGCCAAAUUACAAACACACAAAACACAAGUCUAAUUCUCUAUACAUGCAAUAUUCAAAAAUAUAAAUCAAACUAUAUCGAAUGCUUCAAUUGAUAAUGUGAUUGAUAUCUCGACUUUCUUUGAUCCUUGAGCUAGCUAGGCGGCACUAUAAGAAAAAGAAAGGAGAGGAAGUAAGCAUAAAGCUUAGUAAGCUACACAUAAAUAAAUAUACAACACAACUUUACCAUUCAUCAACAAGCUCAUAAUACACAAGUGGGCAUAAGUAAAACUUACUCAUCAAUAUUCCAUACACUUCAUAUAGUAUAUAUUGAACUCACAAUUCAAACAUACCCAAUAGGUACCUGUAUCACUCACAACUCGGUCAUUCUUUCCUCAAUAACUAGAUAUUAUAACUUUCACCGUUGAACCAUUUGGAAUUUUAUCGGAUAUUCCAUAAGCCUCAUGCAUAGGGUAAGGUGUCGAUGCCAUGUCCCAGACUUGGUCUUACACUGACUAUCAUCUCGUAGCCGAUGCAUGUCCCAGACAUGUCUUACACUGGCUUACAUCUCGAGCUGAUGCAUGUCCCAGACAUGUCUACACUAGCACUCGUCUCAAUGCCGAUGCCAUGUCAUAGACAUGGUUUUACACUGGCUUUCAUAAUGUGGUCGAUGCAUGUCCCAGCCAUGUCUUACACUAGCAUGAAUAUCCGAUUUAUUUCCUAGGUUCAAAUAGGAACUCUACUAUUUCUAUUAUCAUCAUACUUUCUCAAUUCCACAAUCAAACAAUUCAUACUAUAAUAAUUCAAUACAAUUCAACAUAUACAUUAGCAAUGUAGUUGUAUUAUUUACAUACAACUUACCUCAGAUUACAAAAUGUGGCAACUAGUCGAUUUAGCCGAUUUGCUUGGCUUUCCCCCGGUCUAGGCUCGAGUUUGGUAAUUCUUGACAUAUAAGAGCAAAAUACACUUAUUUAAUCACUAAAUAAAAUUAGGCAAUCAAAAAUUCACUUUUUUCGGUAAAAUGACCAUUUUGCCCCUAGACCUUGACAAAAUAACCAUUUUACCCCUAGGCUCGAAAAUAGAUUUUUAUCAAAUUUCUUUGCAUCUUAAGCCGAGAUGAACCCUUUUUACUCUUAUAGCAACUACAAAUUCCCACUAUAUUACACAUUUAUCAUCUACUUUACAGCUUAUGCAAACUAGGCCUUUUAGGUGUUUUCAUGCUAACACCUUUCACAAAAGUUGUUUAUAAGACACCCAAGACUCAUUUUAUUCCAUAAAAACUCAACAAACAUCACAAAUAAAUUCAUGGUAAAACCCUAGACUCUCAAUAACUUUUCAAAAUAGUACCCUCAUUUGAAUGCUCAUGCUUCAAGGAUCUCAAAAGUACAAAAAUAUUUAAGAAAAGCUAUUAGGAUCAAUUACUUGUGAAGGCUUAAAGUGGCUGAAAUUUCAAGCUCUUAAACUCCAUUAUUUGCUGAAAAUUUUGGUGGAGAAAGAAGAUGAAAAGGGAUGAUAUCAUCCUUCUUUUAUCUAUUUCUAUUUUAGUCAAAAUAAGCCACCUAACCCACCAAAUUUUAAAAUUUUGUCUCCUCUUUGACUCUAUGGCCGGCUAUGCUCCUUUAAAAGGGUCUAAUUGCCCUUUAAAGUCCCCAAUUUUGAUUCUCUAAUAAAAUAACACCUUUAGCUAUCAAACUAGGACUUUUGCACUUAAUGCGAUUUAACUCUUUUCUUGUAAUUGGGCUCACAAACGUUAAAAUUAGCUCACCAAAAUUUUCAUGCACUAAUAUAAACAUGCUAUGACUCUAUAUCAAUAAUAAAAUAAUUUUUCUGACUUCGAAUUUGUUGUCCCGAGACCACUAUUUUGACUAGCCCCAAAAUUAGGCUGUUACAAACUUUCUGACUAUAAUGUCAGCACCAAUUUAGGGUCACACGGCCAUAUCAGACGCUCGUGUGGUCAGACUGUAUGGUCAAUUAAAAUUAAAUGAAUUUUUCAUAAAAAGGUGCACACUUCACACGGCUAGAGUACACACCUUCUGGGUAGGCCGUGUCUUAGCGAGUGUGUUUACUACUAAGCAUACUAACUUGCAAAAUUAGGGUGCAGGGGAUACAUGGCCAUUCAACACACCCGUGGGACAGACCGUGUGUCACACACGGCCUAGACACAUGCCUGUAUGUCUACCCAUGUGGAUAAUUUGAAGGCUAUUUUCCAAGCCAAUUGCCUCCCUUAAUCACUCAAGAACUUAAGCAUAUUUUAUAGCAUGCAACAUGACAUACUUAGACACUCAAUAUUCAACACCAUAACACUUUCACAUCUUUAUAAUAUCAUCCUAUUGCACAUUCCCUUAAUCACACCAUUUGGAAGCAUUGCAUACGAACUUCAUGCAUAUCAACUUAAUUAUCAAAAUUUCAAGUUGCACACUUAUAACUAUUGUCAUCUUAGGUUAUUAAACAAUUCCUUAUCUCCUAGUAUUUAAUCCAUACAUCUUCAUACAUUCACCAAGAAAUCGUAUUCCAAAUCAUCAAGACAAUAUCUAAUCACACAAACCACAUAGCACAUCAUCAAGGCAUCAACACAUGCAUGCAUGAAUAAUUAGAUAUUACAACCCAAGAAUCAAUCAUGAGCCCUAUCACAUGGUUAUUAUAAAGUGAAUCAUCAACAUCAUAAGCCUUCACAAUUUGGCCAAAUAGCAUGACACAUAUCACAAAAUGACCAAGUCCCCUAUACAUGCCAUACUCAAAAUAAAAAAUUCAUUAUACCCAAUAUUCUUUUGAUAGUGUGAUUGUAACUGCCCGAUUUUGGGCCUAGUCAGAAUAGUGGUUUCAUGACCACUAAUCCGAGGUUGGAGAAAUUAUUACUCUUAUAUUAUUUUAUGUGUGAUGGCAUAUUUAUAAAGGUGUAUGAAAAUUUUAGUGAUUUAAUUUUAGCGUUUGUGAGCUUAAUUGCAAAAAAGGACUAAAUCGCAUAAAGUGCAAAAGUCCCAUUUUGAUAGUUAAGGGUGUCAAAUAGCUAGAGAACCUAAAUGGGGGUUUUUAAAGGGAAAUUAUAGCCUUUAAAGAGGCAUGGACGGACAUAGGAGACAAAGAUGGUCAAAAAGUAAAAAAUUUGGUGGGUUUGGUGACUAAAUUGACUAAAAUUAAAAUAAAAUAAAGAGAAAAGAUAUCAUAUUUUUUCUAUCUCCUUCUCCACUGAAAAUUCAGCUAUUGUAGGGGUUUUUGAGCAUCGAAAAUUUCAGCCACUUUCUACUUUUGGAAGUAAGUGAAUUUUUUUUACAUUUUUAAAACCCUUGUAGCAUGAGCUUUCUAAUAAGGGGACUAUUUUGUUAAAUAGUUGAAAGUCUAGGGUUUUACCAUGAGAUUUUUCUUGUUGUUUUUUGAAAUUUUAUGGAAGAAAAUGAAUCGUUGUUGUGAAAUAAACAACUUUUGUGAAAAAACUUCUCAUGAAAACCCUAAUAGGACCAUUUUGUAAAGUUUGUAAAAUAGAUAGUAAUGUUGUGAAAUAUUGGGAAUUUAUGUUGUCAUAAGAGUAAUAAAUGGUCGAUUAGGCUUGGCUAAUAAGGAAAUUUGAUAAAAAUCGAAUUUCGGGUCUAGAGGUAAAAUGGUCAUUUUGCCCAAUUAUAAAUUGUUGAGUGCCUAUAUCGAUAAAGUGAUUUAAACUUGUGAAUUUUUAACAUUUUAGAUCAAGAAUUGCAAAAUUCGGGCCUAGACCGAGAAAAAGCAAAGUUAGCGGACUAAGUCGAAAUAGUCGCCAUAUUUUGAAUACCGAGGUAAGUUGUAUGUUAAUAAUGCAACUAUAUCUUUAUGAUGUGUAAUUGAGUUGAUAUGACAUAAAUUUCCUUGAUUUUGAAUAUGAGAAUACAUGUUGAGAACUUUACAUCGUAAAGACUUUCGUUGAACCUUUGGAAUAGACUUGGAUAUUUGUACCGUGACAUAGAUCACACUAUCAUCGGAUGUUUGUACCGUGACAUAAAUUUCCUAAUUAGCUCGAGGAUUAUCGGAUGUUGGAGGCAUAGAUCACACUAUCAUCCGAAGCACUUGGUAUAAUUAGAUCUUUUAUUUUGAUUAAGACAUGUAUAGGACCCUGACUUUUGAGUUUUGUGUCAUUUUUAAUUGGCCAAAUGUGUGGCUUACUUUAGCAUUUGAUUCAUGUUGUAUAAGGCCAUGGAAAAUUGCUAAUAUUGAAAGUUAUUAUGUGAAUGCAAGCUAGUCUUUCAUGAAUGUGAAAUUUUUGGCAUGGUUAAAUAUAUAUAAUGUAUAUAUGUCUUAACUAUGGUUGUUUGGUUGAGAAUUCAUAUUAAGUUAAACUUUGAUAUGUUGGUUGAUGUUAGAUUGUGUUUCAGGGUGGCAAAGGCUUGGUGGAUAGCCUUAUAUUGUCCACAUGGGUAGACACACGGGCGUGUGUCUAGGCCACGUGUGACACAUGGCCAGCCCCAUGGGUGUGUUGUUCAGCCGUGUGUCCCAUGCACAUAAAUUUGUAAGUCAGAAUGCAUGGUAGUAAACACACGGGUAGAGACAUGGCCCCUGGCCAUGGGCGUGUGCCUUGGCCAUGUACCCCUUAUUGGAUACCGAUGUCAGAAACAGAAUGUUAAGGUUUUUAAACAUGGGCUAAGGCACGGGUGUGUCAUGGCCGUGUGAGGGACACGGGCCACAGACACAAGCAUGUGUUAGGCCAUGUGAAAACCAUUGUAGGUCCAAAUUUAGAAUUUAAUUCACACGGGCAUGGGACAUAGACGUGUCCCUAGAUACAUAGGCCAUGUACAUCACACGGGCCAUCAGCAGGACCAUGUUAUAAUGACCACACGAGCGUGUGCCCUGUUUCAAGAGUCAUUUUUAUUAAGUCAGUUUAAGGACCUGAGUUGGUUUCAAAUGGUUUCCAAUGAAAGUUUGAGGCCUCGUAGGCCCACAUUAAGGAGUUUAAACAAAGUUCGAAAGAGUUUUAAAUUUGAUCAAGUCUUGGUGACUCUAAAACAUUUGAAUGCAUGUGUUUAAGUUUAGUAACACCUUGUGUUUCGUUCCGGCAUAGGUCACGAGUGUGGGGUGUUACAGUGAUCGAAUGCUCCGACAACUUCUGAUCCCCAAGCUAGCUUGGCGGAACUACAAAGGAUGGAAAAGAGAGGGAAGUAAGCAUUUAAGCUUAGUAAGUCCACAUGUAAAUAGUAUGCAAUAUUAUUAAACCAUAAUUGUAACGCCCCCACGCCCGAGACCGUCGCCGGAGUCGAGUAUGAGGUGUUACUAAGCUUAAUUUAACAUUUUUAGAACUUUGGAUUAUUUGUUUCUACAUUUACAGCUUUUAAGCUACUUGCGUCACAGUCACAAGAAAAAUCAUAUCUCGAGUUACGAAACUCGAAAUCAAUAUCCGUAAAUUUUCCCUGAAUCUAGACUCAUAUAACUAUCUACUAAUUUUUUUAUAAAAGUUUUUGGUUGGGCCAAUUAGUACAGUUUAUUAGUUAAAGUUACCCCUAUUUCAGGACUUGACUGGUCUGACCUCUAUUUACUACGAACCACAUUUCUCUCUCUAAAAAAUUAAUAUGACUAUGAAGUUUGUUUCUCCUAAAACUAGGCUCUAUAAGAAUUCUGAGGAUAUAAAAUACAUCACCUAAUUAUAUCUUUAAAAUUUAUGGUGAAUUUCUAAAGUAGGAAUAGGGGAUUCAGAAACUGCUAUGACCCUGUUUCACUAAAAUUCAAAUAUCUUCUAACAUAUAAUUCGUUUACCUGUUUCAUUUGUUUCAUGUGAAACUAGACAUAAUAAGAUUCAAUUUGGUAUGUAGUCCAUCACCAAAUUCAAUUGCUAUGAUUUUUAGUAAAUUUUCAAACUCGCGUCAGUGUUGCUGUAGUAUUCUAUUUAUGGCAAAUUUCAUCCCUUUUAUGAGUUUUUAUGCACUAAGUAUCUUAAUAAUUUUCCUGAACAUCAAACAUAAUCUAAACUUACCCUUUUCAUAAUUUAUCAUUAUCAAAUAUUUUCUCAACCAUUCUAUCACCAUAUCAUAAGAUCAUUUACACAACAUAAGUAUAUUGCUAUACAUGCCAUACUUAAAUUUACAAGCCAUUUACCAAAAAUUUUCCUGAUAGUGUGACUGAGCCUUCGACCUAUCCCGACUCCUGAACUAGCUUGUCCAAAACUACAAUGAGUAAGAAGGAGGGAGUAAGCAUAAAUGCUUAGUAAGUUCAUAUGUAAAUAAUAAAUAACAUAACAAACAAUCAAGCUAAUCAACAUUAGCAUAUAUCAUCAACACACUUAUCACAUUUUUUUAAUCAUUUUUCAUCAUCUUAUUACCUUAUCGUGGUUGUAAUCAACACUCAACCCGAGGGUUAAAUACAUACCUGUCCAAAAUAUCCAUUUCUCAUCACUUACCAAUACGUCUCUUUUCAUCUCGAGUAUUCUUCCAUUUGAGUAAAACUUUACCCGUUGAACACAUCGGAAUAUAAUUCGGAUACAUGGAUAAUUUGCAUAUAAGUGCCACAUAUUCAAUCAAGCAAUCAUGUAACCCGCCCAUAAGCGAACUCGGACUCAACUCAAUGAGCUCGGGCGUUCGCAUCCAUAAGUGAACUCGGACUCAACUCAACGAGUUCGGAUGCCUAGUUACAUCUCACGAACUCGGACUCAACUCAACGAUUUCGGACAUUCGCAUCCAUAAGUGAACUCGGACUCAACUCAACGAGUUCGGAUGCUCAACCAUCCUAGUGACAUGUCACUUGUAUCCUAAUCUAUUCCUAAGGUUCAAACGGGAUUUUUCUCGAACACUUAUCCUUGUCGUCUUCCGUAGAAUGCCGAAAUCAAUACUCGGUAACAAUUAUAUUUAACAAGUAGCUCACAUAAUUUACAUAUUAUUUGAAAUUAACCACAAAGCAUACAUUUCAUAAUGAAAUUCAGCAUAACACAUAAUUAAUAUCAAUAACUUAAAAAUAACAAUUAUGCUACAUUAUUUACACAUGAACUUACCUUGGUACCAAAAUACAAAGAUUUUGCAAUAUAGUCCACAAUCUUUUCUUUUCCUCGAUUGAGGUCGAUUCCACGUCUUUCUUGAUCUAAAAUAACACAUUUAGCUCAUUUAAUACUCACAUUAUCAAAUUAAUCCUUAACUCAAAUUUUGGCAAAAUUACAAUUUUGCCCCUAAACUUUUGCAUAUUUACAUUUUUGCCCUAGGCUCGGGAUUAAACUUUAUUCCUUAUUCUUAUGUUUUACAACAUGCUGAUCACUUUUCUCUUCUAUGGCAACAUCAAAUUCUCACUCUAACAUGUACUUGUGACUAUUAGGUAUUUUUACCGAUUAAGCCCUUUUACUCGUUUUUGCUUAAAAUCGAGUAGUACAAGUUGUCUAACAUAAUUUAAAACCCCAUAUUCUAUCAUAAAACAUCAAAAUACACAAAUUUCACCUAUGGGUAUUUUUCCAAAUAUAAACCCUAGGUUGAAUUAUUGCUAACAUAAGCUUAAUCGAGCUACCGGGAUUCCAAAAACGUAAAGAACAUUAAAAACGGGGCUUGGAAUCACUUACUAUGGAGCUUGGAAGCUUGAAACAAACCCUAGCUAUGGAGAACCCUUGAAAUUUCGGCCUAAUGAAGAAGAUGGACAAAAAUUGGCUUUUAAUUUUGUUUUUAAUUCAUUUUAAUAACUAAAUGACCAAAAUACCCUUACUACUAAACUUUCCAAAAAUUCCUUCCAUGUCCUAAUUUUUUCCAUGAACUUAAAAUUGGUCAAAUUGCUAUUUAAGACCUCCUCAUUAAUAUUCCAAAACAAUUUCAUACUACAAACUUCUAGAAUGCAAGUUUGGCAACUUAUUCGAUUUAGUCCCUACUUUCAAUUUAAGCACUUUAGGCAUAGAAUUUCAUCACGAAAUUUUCACACAAUCAUGCAAUCAUAUCAUAAUCAUCAAAAUAAUUAUAAAAUAAUUAUUUCUAUCUCAGAUUUGUGGUCACGAAACCACUAUUUCGAUUAGGCCCUAAUUCGGGAUAUUACAAUAAUCAUACAAGACAUAAUAACAUAACCACCAAGAUUAUUCAUCAUUCAAGCAUUCUAGCUCAUUUAUCAAGUAUUCAUAUAUAUAUAUGUAUGAAUGUACUUUCUAGUCACCUAUCAUCCUUUAACAGGGGAUCAUUCAUGAGUAUAACGUAUGUACAUAUACAUACCCGUAGCGUAUCAAAUAAAUUUACCUUCAUUACCAUGCCCAUCUUGGGACUUUCAUUGGAUCAUCCAUUAUAAUACCCGUUAAACACUCGGAAUACUAUUGGAUACACGGAAACUUGCACAUAAGUGCCACAUAAACAUACGUUGCCAGAGCUACUCACGGGCUUGCUCAUAUAAGCUAUCAAUAAAGGUGUAACUACACGUGCUACUCACAAAAGUUGUCAGGUAUCCGACCACUCAAGGAUGACCUAGCCACCGGUAGGACACACAAGACCAUUUCCCGAAACUCAAUCACAUGUAUCGCAUCUAUUAUGAACUUGGACCACUCAAAGAUCUCGGAUGCCACAUAUAUCACAAACCCGGACCACUCAAUGAGUUCAGACUUCUUAAUUCCUAGUGACAUGUCACUUGUAUCCUAAACUAUUCCUAAGGUUCAAAUGAGGUUUUUCUCACUUGCACAUUGCACCUCUAUUGCACUUGCUCGUGACGUCGUGGAUAACGAUCAUAAUAUCAUUCAUGCUUACAAUAGUACCAUUAGACAUAACAUACAUAAUAAGCGAUAAAAUAAUUAUCACAUAAUGUUAACACAACAUAACAUACCACAUUGUCACAUUAUUUACAGAUGUACUUACCUCGGUACAAAAAUAAUGGUAAUCGAGCCUAAUCAUCGUAUAGUUUAUUCUUCCUUCGAUCAAGACCUGGUUCAUGUUUUUCUUGAUCUAUAAUGCCAAAUUUAACUUGUUUAUUAAUCACGUUGCCCAAAUCGAUCCAUAAUUCAUGCUUUGGUAAAAUUACCAUUUUACCCCUAUCUUUCCACUUAUUUACGAUUUAGUCCCUGGGCUCAUAAAAUGAAAUGCAUGCAUUUUCUUGGUUACCCCAGCCUAGCUGAACCUUUACUAUGCUUAUAUCAGCCCAUAUUUCCCUUUAUUUCACAUUAUUACUACCCACUUUUACACUUUUACAAACAAGUCCCCUUUUUAGGUGUUUUCACUAAAAAUCACCUAGUAAAAAAGGUUUAUCAUGCAUCAAACAUUCAUAUUCCUCCAUUAAUCAACAAAAUACAUGCAUGUUACACAUGGGUCAAAUUUCAUACAUGAACCUUAACAGCUCGAUUUUGGGGCCAGUCGAAAUACUAAUUUCUGAACCACUAAACCGAGGUCGAGGAAAUUAUUUUAAAUAUCAUUUUAUGUAUUGUAGCAUGAUUAGAUAAGUACAUGGAAAUUUUGGUGAAUUAAUUUUAGCGAUUGCUUACCUAAUUGUGAAAAAAAAGAGAUUAAAUUGCUUAAAGUGCAAAAGUCCUAUUUUGUUAGAUAAGAGUGUCAAUUAGCUAAAGAACCUAAAUUGGGGGCCUUAAAGAGCAAUUAGACCAUUAGAGAAUAAGGUGGCCGGCCAGAGGGGGGACAAAUUGAUGGGAAAGUCAAAAUUAGAUAGUGUUUUGGUCACCAAUUUUGACUAAUUUUAAAUAAAAUAAAAUAAAACAGGCCUCAUCUUUUUAUUUCUUCUUCUUCAACUGAUUUUUAUCUUUAAAAUGGGGUUUUGAGAGCUCAAAAUAUCAGCCAUUAACAUCUCUUACAAGUAAGUCAUUUAUAAGGUUAUUCUUGAUUAUUUUUGUAUUUUUGGACUCCUUGUAAUAUAAGCUUUCUAUGAAGGGGAUUAUUUUGCAAAAUGGUUGAGAGAUUAGGGUUUUUCCAUGAAAGAAUAUGUGUAGUUUUCUAAAAUUUUAUGGAAGAAUAUGAGUAUUAGAUGUGUAAUAAACAACUUUUUUGAAGGGAUUUUUCAUGAAAACCCUAAUAGGGACUAUUUUGCAUAAGUUGAAAAUUUGUUGAUAAAUGUGAGAAAUAAUGGAAAUUUUGGAUUGCUUCUAGUAUAAAAAGUAAUCAGCUACGCUUAUAAUAUGAAGAAAUUCGAUAAAAUCAAUCUUCGAGCAUAGGGGUAAAAUGGUUAUUUUGUGAAAGUCUAGGGGCAAUAUAGUCAUUUUGCCCAAUUACGAACUUUCAAGCGUCUAAAUUGAUAUGCUGAUGAAAUAAAUGAAUUUUAUUAAUUUAGAUCAAGAGAACUGUGAUUUGGGUCUUGAUCGGGGUAAGAACAAAGUUUACAAUGAAUAACCUAGUCUUCAUCAUUUUGUAUCGAGGUAAGUACAUAUGUAAAUAAUGUGUUAUUGAAGCUUACUUUGGUAUAUUUUAAUAAUAUACAUGUGUAAUUAGCUUAUUGUUGUUAUGUAUCCAAAUUCUAAUUGUUGCCAUGAAUGUUUAAAUGACAUGUUAUGGGAGUAAAUUACAAUGUGAGCAAAUGCGAUGCUAUUUGAUUAGAUAUGAAGCCCCGUUGAACCUUAGACAUAGCAUAGGAUACAAAGGGGCAUGUUAUGAAAAUUAUGUGGUCUGAACUCAUGAGUUGAGUAUGAGUUCAUGAGAUAAAUGCUAUAGGUAACGUAGGUUCAGGUAUUAACUUUGUGUACAGACUCUUGAGUGGCUUAAUGAGCAUACGUUACAUGGUAGCUGUGUGGUUCGGGUCCUAACCUGAUAAAAAGGCCUGUGAGUAACUCAAAUGUGAGCGUUUCAUAGCACGAGGUAGCCUUAAUUUCUUAUAUGGAAUUUAGACAUAAAUUCCUCGCGUAUCCAUAUGUAUUUCAAAAUUUCAACGGGUAACCCGAAGAUCUAGUUGGUGAAUAGUUUGAUGAGGUAUGUAUACUGAACGCAUAGUUAGGACCUGAGUAAAGAACUAGGUGUAUUAAGUAUACAUGAAGAAAAGAAGAGUAAGAUAGAGACGUUAAGUGAUUUAUAUAUUUUAAGCAUGACAAGCUACCGCUGGAUGAAUAUGAUUUUCUUAUAAUUACACUUUAUUUGCAUAUAUGUACUUACUAAGCUCCUACGCUUACCCUCCUUUCUUCUCUUUCCUUAUAGUGCCGCCAAGCUAGCAUCGGGGAUCCAGUGAUAUCAAAAGCUUCGAUCACACUAUUACUCAAGACCUUGGUAUAGCUAGUUUCAUUGUUUUGUUUUCUGGCAUGUAUAGGGACUCGAGUAUUUGUUUGGUGUUUUGUUAGUAGCCAUAAUGUGUUGGCUCAUAUGAUGAAUAUGUUACUCAUUUUGUAUAAGGCCAUGGAUGAUGGUCAAUACUCAUUUUGAUUUAUAAAUAGAAGAUGAUAUUUUCAUG
rnacentral:lncRNA from 1 species